AUCAAUUUUAUUGUAUAAUUUUUCGGUUAGAAAAUGAAAUUUAUUUUUAUUCAAGUUGAGUUUAAGUUUAGCGGCCCUCAUUAACAUAAAUAUUUUUGAGAGCUGAAAAGACUAGAUAAAGAUCCAUUAUCUAAAAGCAUCUGUUGCUGAAUAUUUGAAUAACUCAUUCCCAGACAAGCCACUUAGGCAUUUAAUUAACCCUAAUGAAAUUAUUUAGGUAAUUAUGCUUGUCCAUCUCUCCAUUUUAUAGUGUACAAGGGAUAGUCAAUCGAUAAAGGCAAGGACUUCUUUGAGGACUGAGGAGGUUAGAUGGUUAAGUCUAUUUAAUUGGUCGAAUCGAAAAUAAAUCGUUCAUACCUAAUGCCCUCCAAACAUUCAACAAGAGUAGAAGAAUUUGUAACUGUUUACGAAGCCGAGCUACCAACUGAUCAACAGAUCAGUUUGUUUCUGUGAAUAAAUAUAAUCUGAUAUUAAGAACGCCAUUUUAGAGACAAGAACAUAAAAAGGAUUAACACAGUCCCACCCUUAUGACCUGAGGAGAGGUUAGCGUACACAAAUUUACCCAUGCUUUGCAGAGAGGUUGUUAUUGUGGCUCGAACCUUUGACUAUGCUGUACAUAGAUCAGUUUGGGCAUUUUCAUUCUAUUUUGUCAGACCAAACCGAUAAAGUUGGUUUGAUAAUAUUCAAAUCAAAACUAACAAAUUGAAUUUCAAAACCACAUAUAUUCGGUUUUCACAUUAAAUGUGUUGGUAGUUCGGUUUGGGUGGUUUUUACUUCUUUUAACAAUUUUUGGACUUUUAUAAUUUAACUCUUAUUAAACAUUUUUCAUAAAAUAUUGUCAUACACUAAUUGAAAAAUAAAUUUUAAUUCAAAACGUAUUACUCAGUAAAAGUAAAUAAGAAUAAAAAAUAAAAUAAAAUUAUUCACAUUCACGACACACCUAUUGAGUUUGGAUUAAACUUUUACGAUAUUAACUUAAAACCCAAAUAAAAAAUUUUAUUUAUAAUUAUUUUCAAAUCAUAGUCAAUAUUUAAAUAUAUAAAAUCAUUAAUUUUGUUUUGGACUCAUUCUAGUUGAUCAGGUUUUUCAGAUUAGUGGUUUCUUUGCACACCUUAAUCCACCACCAUUAAUAAGAACUUUAAAAGGCGUUUCUCAUGGCGUGAUCAAAUGCUGGUUGAGGAUGCCACUAAGGCAAUUAUUCUCAGAUCU
rnacentral:misc_RNA from 1 species